ensembl:lncRNA
AUCCCCCCCAAUGGGGUUCCUGUAGCAAGGGAUGAUGGGGGCAUCCCUUGAACAUCUUCCCUAUUCUGCCUGGCAGGAAUAGGUGCCUGGUGAAUGGUCCCAGAGAAAGGGAGCCAUUACCUUGAAAAUCCCCCCAUUGGGGUUCCUGUAGCAAGGUAUGAUGGGGGCAUCCCUUGAACAUCUUCCCUAUUCUGCCUGGCAGGAAUAGGUGCCUGGCGUAUGGUCCCCAGGAGAGAAAAGGACAAAGACAGUGAGAAAGAGAAAGACAGUGAGGAAUUUUCCGCCAGUCUGGGGGACAUUCUACCCAAUUGCAUCCUGGAGCCAUUCUCCCAAGAAGGGGUUCCCAUACUCCACCAAAGGUUAGAGUUUGGUACUUCCCUUGAACUGGAGUCCCGAGUGGGACUUUCCUCGCAGUUCAGAGCGUGGUCAGGUGCCAGAGGGAGGGAUCCCAAUCCAGCCUUAGGAAAAGAAACCUUCCACGGGAGUCUUGGAGAUUGGCGGCCGUCCUAAUGACUUAAGUGGCCGACCCGCGCCCACGUAAAAUUUGUCUAUUAGAGAUAGAGUCAGGAAGGAAUGGAUUAAUUCAUUCUCCAUCACCCUGAGGCUUAAGGUACUGAAUCUCUUCAAGCUGAAUGCCACAAUUUGCCCCAUAGAGUAGCCAUGGGCAGCAAACGUGGAUUCAUACAACCAUCCAAGAAAGUUCCCGAUGGAGCAGUGAAUCUAGAUCCAUCCUUGAAAAAGAGAAAGGCAUAAGGAAGAAAAGGGCACUUACCAGAACUCGAGCUCACAAGCCGAUGAAGCAAGUCCCCGUACGGGC